rnacentral:rRNA from 1 species
CUGCAGCCCGAGUGGUGGUCGAUUUUAUUGAGCCUAAAGCGUCCGUAGCCGGACUAGUAAACCCUUGGGUAAAUUGGGCAGCUUAACUGUCCAAAUUCCGAGGGGACUGCUAGUCUUGGGACCGGGAGAGGUCAGAGGUACUCAAGGGGUAGGGGCUAAAUCCUGUAAUCCUUUGGGGACCACCAGUGGCGAAGGCGUCUGACUAGAACGGAUCCGACGGUAAGGGACGAAACCCUGGGGCGCGAACCGGAUUAGAUACCCGAGUAGUCC